AUUAACUGUUACUAAGUAGAAAAAGCUAGUUUGAAAAGGCUAGAUUUUAUAUGAUGCCAACUAUAUAAUAUUUGUGAUAGGUAAAAUUAGAGACAGUAAAAUAUCAGUUUGAGGGCAGGGGAAGAAAGACGGAUGAAUAAGUACAGGGCAUUUUUAGAGCAAUUAAACCAUUCUAUGCGGACCUUGAACUAAAGUAUACUGGCUUCCAAGGAGACCCAGGGUGAGCUCUGGCAGUUUCCACAGUGAGACCUGCUUUUUGGUAUGUGUUGUCAUAUUUGAUCAUCUGUGAUUCGAUUCUUGUAUUUUGUUAUAUUUGUUAAUGAAUUUAAUAAGAAUGCAUUCAAUUUGGGUGACCACAACAUCCCUGUUCUUAUUACUGAUGACUUGAUUUGUACUCUAAAAAAGCAGUAGGAUUUUCAUUAUUUUCCAUUUAUAAUCUAAUGCUAUAAUCUCCUAAUUAUUCUCUAUACUCCGUCAUAAUCUCACACAAAUAAUUCUUUCUAGAAUCCUUGGAAAACAAACUCUUUCCUUAAUUUCUUUAUUAAUGGAGUGGUGACUAGAAUAUUUCUUUCCUCAGUUUGCAACCUGAAAUGACUGUUCAUAAUUCUCAAAAGAAAACAACAAAAAACAUCAUUUGCAUUCUUCAGCAGUUUCAACAGGGAGAGAACUAAAGCUACUGAAGGAAGGAAACACAAGAGUCCUUUGUGCUAUUUUGCAACUUCUUGCAAGUCUAAAAUUAUUUUAUGAUAAAUGUUAAAAAAAAGGAUAGGAUCUAUUUAAAUAAAUAAAUAAACCUGUUUGGAGCUGCAAUGUUUUUUGAUUUUUGAUAAGUGAUGUUUGUCUGUUAGGUCAUCAAUUUAAAUAGGAUUUAGUAUACAUAAUAUUAUUCCUUAUCAAAAUGCUAUUGUGUGUUUUGUUAAAGUAUAAAAAGCUUUGUGUGUGUGUGUGUGUGUGUGUGUGUACGGGUCUGUGUGUAUGAGGUGUGUGUAAAAUUAGUAUGAUGUCUUGAUUACAAUAUAAUCUGGCAUUUUAAUUGUUAAAUACUAUAAGUUGAGUUCAUGUUUUUUCUUUAAUUUCUUCUUACUUUUUUCAAAGAAAAUUUCUAUCUCUAAGCGAAUAAUUCCUUAUUUAUAUAUAUUUUUUUAAAAAAUUAUUUGUAAGGAAAUUGAAGUUCUCCCACAAGCUUUGCCAAAGAUAUUCAAAAUGUAUUUUGAGGGCAACAUUAUUAAUGAAAAAUAGUGAGAAAUAUCAAAAUCCUUUAAUCUGUUAAUAUUUCAAAAACAUUACAAAUAUUUUGCUCAUGUAUAGACCACAAGACAGCAUGGCUGGUUGAAUAUUCUGAAUCAAAAACACUCUAGUAGCUUGAUUCAAGGGAUAGUGCAGUAUUGAUUUGACUGGCUGUAGCAUUUUGCUUUCACAUGAAAAGUAGUCCCUGAGUCUCAUUUUAUUUCUUAUACUCACAAAGGAAAAUUCAGCUUUUAACUAGCAAAUGUCAGCAACAUUUAAUAACCACGAUGUUUCAUACUCAAAAGCAGCUUAUGAAAUUCCCUCAGAAUAAUGCUAUCAACAGUUAUUGAUACAAUGGUUGGCCUUAUAAUAAAAGUGAAGAUUUCAGUGAACAUUGAUAGCUUUUGAACAUUGAAUUUAGUUGUUUUAAAACUAUCAAUACAUCAUUAACCUUGGGAAGGAUAUUUGUGCUGUUCUGUUUUAUUUUGACAGUCAGUGACCUGGGGUUUACUUGAAUAUGAUAAAGAGUAAGAAAGAUUCUAUAUUUCAUAGCUUCUUUUGUGCUAUAAUAUAGUUACUCAGAAAUUUGUACAUUCCUAAUACACAUAGAAGAUUUCACAAUUGUAAAUCAUCCUAAAUAUACUUAACUUUCAGUUAGGAUUCUAAUAUUGCUUGUUAAGGACUCAGUAUUUGAAAUUUUAAAUCUUUUUUUUUUUUUUUUCAGCCUUUUCUGUGCUGUGACCAAAAACCUGACAAGAACAAUUUUUGAGGAGCUAAGUUAAUGUGUGGCUCACAGUUUCAGAGGUCUCAGUCCAUAGAUGGCCAACUUCAUUGCUUUGGGUCUUGGUGAGGCUGAGAAUCAAAGCAGAAGAGUGUGGUGGAGGAAAGCAUCUCACCUCACAGCAGCUGGGAUUCAGAGAGACACCAAAUAAAGGGCUUGAGAUAAAUAUAGACCCCAGGGAUAAACGUCAGAGGACUUACUCUCUUUAAUUAGGUUGCAACUCUACAUUUUUCACCACCUCUCAAUAGUUCAUUCAAAUUAUGAAUCUAUUAAUGGAUUAAUCCACUGAAGAGAAUAGAGCCCUCAUGAUACAACAAUUUCCUAAAAGUGCUGCCUCUGAAACUUCCUGCAUUGGGGACCAAGCCUUUAACACAUGAGCCUUGGAGGAAUAUUUCAAUUACAAAGGAUAACAGAUAGCAAGUUGGUGCUGCUUGCUGGACACUAGGUAAUAAUGUCUGGAGAGCAGAAUUUUUCUUUAUAUCCUUUUUAACUUUAUAAAGUAGGCUUCCUUUAGAUAAUUGCCUCUCGUAAAGUUAUAUGUUCAUAUGCUAGCCCCUUUUAACCUUUAAUCCAAUUCAUUUAUAAGUUUAAAAUGGUUAGCCUUUGCUUCUUGGGGCAGGGAGAACUCCAAAUUGAAUGAUUUCUUUGAGAUGAGUAUGAGGAGUCCUGCAGGAAUGGCAACUGGCAGAAAUCAAUACAUGUCAAAAGAUCUCAGUGUCCUCAUCCUGGAAAAUUUAGUAAGAGUCUGAUAAUACCUGUGAUGCUGAGGAUGUACAGAAGGGAAAUCCCUGCAGGUUGGCAGGAAUGUAUUUCUAAAACAAAACAAAACAAAAACAACAACAAAAAAAAAACCACUUUAAUUUCAGUUGGUAAUAUCUUACAAAAUUAAAGAUGCCUAUUACCAUAAUACUCCUACUAUUCAGUGGUUCUACCCUAAUUAUAUAUCUGGAGAAACCUUCACACUACACAUGUGAAGAACAUCAUAGUUUACUUCAGUCUUGUUUAUCAUCAUCAAAAUUUAAAACAAUCCAAGUGUCCAGUGAUAGUAAUGAAACAGAGCUGCACAUAGCAGCAAUGAACUUGCAAGCAUAACCUUGAGAUUAUCAGCAGGUGAUGCACAUGAAUACAGAAGAUAUAAAAUAAUUUAUAUACUACUUUAAAUAUAUAACUUAUCACCAUAUAUUUUAAGUUUCUUGUGAUGUGAAGAGUAAGAAAUAAAUAUAUGUAAACCAUAAAAUAUAUAGUUAUUAAAAAUUCAGAUAUCUAAAUUAUUGUAUCUAAGAUCCCUCACUCUCUGUUUUGCGCCUUUCUUCUGUAUCUCUCUUCUGUGUUCAUCUACCUAUUAUGAAAAAUGAAGUGCUAAUAAUCAUAGACUUUAGAGAAAUACAAACUUGAAUUUCAUACCAACUCAAUAAUGUCAUAAGUGUAUAAUAUUGGGCUAAUUACCUGACCUUGGUAGAUCUGAAUUCUUCAUCUGUUUUGUUAACAGUACUGUAAAGUUAAGAGAAGAAAAUGAAUACACCCCUGCUAAUGUAGUAUCCACCUAAGAAAGGAUACUUCUAUUUUAUAUAUUUUUAUUUCUAUUUCACAAAAUCGAUGUUGAUGUUGUAUUAAAAAUAUAAUUGGGAAAAUUAUAGAAAUUUUACAUUUUGACAAUUAAUUGGGAUAUUAAUUUA
rnacentral:lncRNA from 1 species